GACCGCGACUGCUAUCUAGUGUUAGGAAUUGGUUCCUCGACUAUAUGGCGAGGUCAAACUGCCUGCUUUCCUUCAUCUGUUAUGAAGACUGCUGUUUCAUAAGCUGUUGGUAUCCGAGUUCCUGGCAGUGCCAGCUGGAAGAACCACAGGCCAAUGCCAACAUCCCCCCCUUUACCUGGCGUUGUGCCCUCUGCGUGCCCGUGCCGUGCACUGAGUUGCUGAGACAACCAAAGCAGUGAAGUGGAGCAGUCCCAGCUGCAGCCUAGAGCACAGAGCCGGGGGGCUGCACAUGUCGUCAGCUCUGGUUUGCAUUAUGCAGGUCUGACUGCAGGGAGUUUGAUUAAUGGCUGGAGUCAGAGGGGACAGACACAGGAGCUCAGAGGGAGUUGCACACAACAGCAUCCUGCACACAGCACCACAAUACAGCACUACAUGUGACCAGCUGCCCAUCUUUGUCUGGCCUCACUCCUUAGGGACAGCUGGGGCCAUCAAUCUGUUCCCAAAAACCCUGCACUUCACCCUGACUCCUAUGGUAAGCAUUGAGGGCCAUUAUUGUUCUCGAUGUGGGGCGUCCUCUGCGGUAAAGUCUCUGGCACACUUUUAAAGACAUAGUGGGUAAUAUAUGCAGGCCUGAGCCAGUGACCCUGGCAAAACCAUUCCCCUCCCCCUCCCGAGGCUCCUUUUCUUGGAAGAGCAGACAAACAUUUGUUUUGUCAGCUGAAGACCACAGUGACAAAGCAAGAGUCAGCCAAUCUCUUUAACGCUAACAGAUAUUAGUGGUUUUGCUGGCUGGAGUUAAGUAGAGAAGUGACAAAGUACUAAAAGGCCGACUAUCUAGAUACACUUGAACGGUGUCUAAAAGCAUGACGGCGACAGCCAAGUUAAUCAGGAAGAGACGAUCUACAGGACAUUCCAGCUUUGUUGUCUCAACACGUGCACUAAUAGAUAAACCAACACUGAUGAAUCAUGCCAAAAAUCACAAGUAAACACCUAUUAACAACAUGUACACAGAAGCAAUCAGCAACAUUAACUAUAAAAGUGCUCAAGAGUAGUGAUUUGAGCACAGCUUAGUCGAACAGUUUAGUUUGUGUAUUGCAACAACAGCAUGCCAUGUGAUUCUCAGCAUGCCAUCAGACCUGCCUAUUUGUUUUGGAGAAUGAUUAUGUGCUUUACGGGGCCCCAAGGACCGAAGCCUUCUAAAAUGAGCUGUGAUCCUGUGUUCGAUUAAUACACUCAGUACACAAAAAGUAGCUGCCUCCACCCAAACAUUUUACACCUGUGUUGAUACUGGCAACACUCCCUUUUUCUCUAGAAAUCGAAAGUUUCUCCUCCUAAACACGUCUGGGCUGUACACCAUUCUGAUAAAUACUGCAUUAGUGGAAUUCUGUGUCAUGCAGGCGUGCGCAGUUAAUGAUGACACAGGUGUAACACUUCAGAGAUGGUUUAGAUAGGAGGGGACAUGAUGUUCAGUCAUACCUGAAAUCACUGUGAUUCACCCUGAACUUGUCCUCAGCCCCAGUCUAAUUUUUUUAAUAAACAUAAAAAAUGUAAUCAAAUUACUUAUUCAUUAUAUGUCUGAGAGUUUGCAUGUCAAUGUGCACAUCUGCAACAACCUGACCAAUAAAUUAGGCAAGAGUUUUACAAGUUUUACUACUAAAUGAUGCAAAAGUAUUACGGGAUUUACUACUAAAUGAUGCAAAAGCUUUAUGACUCAUUAAUUCAGUGGAGACUGACUCAGGAAAUUAUGAAUAACAACCACGUAGUCAACAUCAAACUACACAUAUUUAAUUUAUUUAGUCACAAAUAUCAUACGAGAAAGGUAAAAGAAAAACCCUAAGAGUAUCUAGAGUAAAUCAUACAUUUAAAUUAUAUAAAUUUAAUUAUUCAUAUUAUUAAAUACAUUUUAUAUUAUACAUUUAUA